rnacentral:rRNA from 1 species
CCUACGGGUGGCAGCAGUAGGGAAUUUUGCGCAAUGGGCGAAAGCCUGACGCAGCAACGCCGCGUGAUUGAUUAAGCCCUUCGGGGUGUAAAGCUCUGUCAGUGGGGACGCAACUUGACGGUACCCACAGAGGAAGCACCGGCUAACUCAGCGCCAGCAGCCGCGGUAAUACGGAGGGUGCAAGCGUUGUGCGGAAUCAUUGGGCGUAAAGAGUUCGUAGGGUGCUUAGUAAGUCGGGUGUUAAAGGCAGAAGCUCAACUUCUGGUCGGCACUGGAUACUGGUAAGCUUGAAUGCGGUAGGGGGAAAGGGAAUUCUUGGUGUAGCGGUGAAAUGCGUAGAUAUCAGGAGGAACAUCGGUGGCGAAGGCGCUUUACUGGACCGUAACUGACACUGAGGAACGAAAGCCGGGGGAGCAAAUGGGAUUAGAUACCCCAGUAGUC